UACGGGGGGGGCAAGCGUUGUUCGGAAUUACUGGGCGUAAAGGGUUCGUAGGUGGCCUGCUAAGUCACACGUGAAAUCCCUCAGCUUAACUGGGGAACUGCGUGUGAGACUGGCGGGCUUGAGUACAGGAGAGGAACGCGGAAUUCCAGGUGUAGCGGUGAAAUGCGUAGAUAUCUGGAGGAACACCGGUGGCGAAGGCGGCGUUCUGGACUGUUACUGACACUGAGGAACGAAAGCCAGGGGAGCAAACGGG
rnacentral:rRNA from 1 species